rnacentral:lncRNA from 1 species
AUUGGGAGUAUUUUACAGUUCCCCUGGAAUUUAAGAGAAUGUGUAAGCAGCAGUUAAGAACACAGAGGGAACACAGCUGAACAAGAUAAAGCCAAGGACAGAACGGAGCAUGGAGAGAGCAGGCCAGCCUGAGACUUGGCAACAAUGGACGUGCAUCAUUGUCUAAAGGCUCCCCUGUAAAGAAGAUUGAGAAAUGUUCCAUGUGAGGAAUAAAGAAGAAGCUGAAAGACCAGACUCAAAUUCUAACAAUUUGGUGAACUCAAAUCCUACAUGUGAUGUGCUGAGCUUCAUAAAUACAUGACAUAAUCUGUACUUCAGAACUCAGAAGACAGGCAGAAAGGACCAACCUAACAGUGCUCAAAAAGAACUGAGCUGGAGUGGCAUUUGGAAAA